CAUGACAACAGAACCAACAACAACCAUGACUUUUAUCACCAUCUUCAUCUGGACACUUGCUUUCUGCUUUCAAGAAUCCAGAGGACAGUAUGUUGUGACACAGACUCCUGCAGUGAAAGCUGUUGUCCCAGGACAGACAGUCUCUCUGAACUGUAAAACCAGCAGUAAUGUUUACAACAAUAACUAUUUAGCCUGGUAUCAACAGAAACCUGGAGGAGCUCCUAAACUCCUUAUUUACUAUGCUACAACACUUCAGUCUGGGACUCCAUCUAGAUUCAGUGGCAGUGGAUCUGGGAGUGACUUCACUCUGACCAUCAGUGGAGUCCAGGCUGAAGAUGCAGGAGAUUACUACUGUCAGAGUUAUAAUCAUAUCAAUAGUAAACAUGUGUUCACACAGUGAUACAGAGCCAUACAAAAACAUCCCUCAUUCAGACUGCUCAGUGAUUGUGUUGCUACAGCUGGGACCUACUGCAGGUGCUGAGGGGAAAGAGUGAAAUGGAUCACUGGUCACUAGAUGAGGUCAACUGUGAUGUGACAAUAUGGUUAGAAAUCAUUCAGAUCACAUGACCAUCAUCA